GACGAACGCUGGCGGCGUGCCUAAUACAUGCAAGUUGAGCGAUGAAGAUUGGUGCUCGCACCAAUUUGAAGAGCAGCGAACGGGUGAGUAACGCGUGGGGAAUCUGCCUUUGAGCGGGGGACAACAUUUGGAAACGAAUGCUAAUACCGCAUAACAACUUUAAACAUAAGUUUUAAGUUUGAAAGAUGCAAUUGCAUCACUCAAAGAUGAUCCCGCGUUGUAUUAGCUAGUUGGUGAGGUAAAGGCUCACCAAGGCGAUGAUACAUAGCCGACCUGAGAGGGUGAUCGGCCACAUUGGGACUGAGACACGGCCCAAACUCCUACGGGAGGCAGCAGUAGGGAAUCUUUGGCAAUGGACGAAAGUCUGACCGAGCAACGCCGCGUGAGUGAAGAAGGUUUUCGGAUCGUAAAACUCUGUUGGUAGAGAAGAACGUUGGUGAGAGUGGAAAGCUCAUCAAGUGACGGUAACUACCCAGAAAGGGACGGCUAACUACGUG
rnacentral:rRNA from 1 species